AAAGACAUCUAAACACCACAGUAACUGCGUUUAGACAAACACACCCACACCACACAACAUAAUACAAUACAUACUAUCACCUAUCCUACUCAGCUAAUAACUCAUCAUAACUCGGAAUAUACCCCCCCACCACUCGCUAGAAAGCUCCUAAUAACACCCAAAAUAACAAAUAACCGAUCCCCAAGAGGAUCCCGUAGAUUAUGCGCUCACGCUCUACUCCUUUAACUCUCUUCCACUCUCUCCCACUCAUACUUCCCCCCCAAAACCAAUAUCCUUGAUCAUAUUCAACGCACUGAAAUAUAACAAAUAAAUGAAAACAGAGAGAGAUGAAAACAAAAUAAACAAACACCCCUACACAGCCUACUACCUAUCAAUCAAGAAAGAAAAGAAAGAUUACUUUGCUAAUAAUAUUACUGAGACCAACCAUACACACAUCUAUCUCCCUAAGAUCACUCAUACAAAUUCCUAUUAAAAAUAAAAACAUAAAUUCAAUAAGAUACCCACACAAAGAAGUCUUCCCUCCCACCUCACCUAUAUCCUCUCUACCCACCCACACCCACCUAACACACUAAUACUAAACAAUACAAAUAGGACAAAUAACCCCCUUCUUAUCUACUUAUAACUCACUAUCCAGACUCCUAUUCUCACCACCCCUGCCCUUCCCUCCUGCAAAUAUAAUAAUUAACAUUUAUCAUAAUAAUAACACUUAAUAUACUCUACCAACCCUCCUCAUACACAUCGUCUUCUUCUAUUUUAAAAUUCAAUCAACCUUCUAUAUAAUACAUACGACACACCAAAUCACACUAUUAUGGCGAUUUCUUCAAUCAUU
rnacentral:rRNA from 1 species